AUCGCUUCUUGGCCUUUUGGCUAAGAUCAAGUGUAGUAUCUUCUUAUCAGUUUAAUAUUUAUCCCUCACAACUCCAUCAGGGAGGUACUGCUAUUGUCCUAGUUACAUAAAUGAAGAAACUGAAGCUUAGAGAGGUAAGUAAUUUGCCUUGGCAUUCCUGACUUCAAUUCUGAGCGUCCUCAAAAUCCUCCU